UGUGAGAUUGUGGAAAAGCUCUGCCUGCAUAAUGUUUAUGCCUAGAUUAUAUGAUUGUAUUGGAGCUGUCAUUUGGCAUUCCGGGCACUAGAGGCCACUGUUUUGCAGCUACAGUCAGCACACUCUGGGAUC